CUGCAGAUGUGAUCCUGGGAAAACUGGCAAAAGUCAGCAAAAGGGGAGAAGUCUUUCGGAAGAAGAAACUGUUGAAGGCCAGGAAGUUCAGAGGCUUUCUGCAAAGCUAAGGAAUACGAUUUCAGGGUGCUGAAGUCUGAGUUCAUGUGAGCAGUUCCAACGAUGGGUGUUGAUCAAGGGACUGCUGUCCUGGCAGUGGAAGAGGAGAGCUCUGCUCAAGCAACUGAGGCCCAGACAGACUCUGCUUCGGUCAAGCCCAGCUAAGUCUCGCAUGGUAAAGGAGGCUUGGCAAGGUCCCUGAUGCUUCUCAAG
rnacentral:lncRNA from 1 species